rnacentral:rRNA from 1 species
CGGGUGGAGUUGAACUGUGAUCUCUGUGAAUUUAGCUGGUGAGCAUGGUUUGGGCUUGGUCAAAUUGGUUGAAGCCGGGAAUCUGCGUAGCAGCAGGUCCUCACCUUCUGGUGGGGAUGCGCGGUGCACUUAUCAAGUGUUGCGCGUUCCAUGUUUUUCGUGCCAGCUUGCCAGUGCACUUUUGCAGAGUGGUCACCACGACCGGCAUUGCUGUCUGGCUGUUGUGGUUAAACCGGCCUUCCUUUGUCCUUGUGGCUUUGGAUUGUCGGGAUGGCAGGUAACUCGCUUGCUUUGCUUGUGGUUCGCUGCAGGUUUUGGCUCUCGGGUGUAAUCGGCUGACCGCAUCGGUUCUGUGCAGUAUGUCGGAGAUGGCGGCUUG